ensembl:snoRNA
UCCCUCUGGCAAUGGGCAAAGAGACACCUUGGUGGUGGUGGUGUUCUUAUAUCAGUCAGGGGCAGAGCAGAUGGCAGUCCUUUGUCCUAGCUUGAUGCCUGGCUUGGUGGCCAAAGUUGUCUUAUGCCUAGGACUCAUCA